rnacentral:lncRNA from 10 species
AAAACACAGAAGGCACCCCAGAGAAGCUGGCACUCAUAGUAAACUAUCCAAGGGAUAAUUUGUGGCAACAAAUGAUACACUGAAUAUUGCAUUUAAACUUUAAAACAAUUGUUCACACACAAAAGAAAACUAAUGGCUGAGCUCUCGCUCCACCCCAGCUUCCUGUCACUGUUCAUUUUUCAGUUUCCCCAUGGUUGAAGGAAGCCCUUGGGACUUAUGGCAGCAGAUAGCUCAAAACGAUGCCUGUAGAGCUUUUGUAAUUAUUAUUAUGUUAAACACAUAAUUUGGUUGCUUUGUUCUGUGAGUAUAUGUGCUUAUUUCAGCCUCAUAAUAGUUGCCAGAUUCAGCUGUGUGAUUUGUAUCCUGCAAUAAAAUGCACCGACCACAAGUUUGCCUUUCUGCACCCACGUUUCCACCAGCACUGUGCAAACCAACAAUGCCCAUUAUUGUCUCGGGAGUUUUGCGUAGACCUGAAGUGACAAAGGGGAGUAACUUCAGACAAAUCAACAGAAUGUAAUUACAGGUUAAUGAGUGCCAUCCCAAACCUACAAAUCAGAACCUCUGGAGGAGAGGCCUGGGAAUGCAUUUUGACAAACUCCUUAGAAGAUUCUCUGUCACCUGAAGUUUGAGGACCACUGCUGUAGAAGUAUACCUCAUUCAUCUACUUAAAUCAGACUGAGUCUUUUCUUAAGCUGAAUUCAGAUACAUAUCUUUCUGCCCAUUUUUUGCUUUUAUUAUUAUUUUUCAUUGACACAAUAAUUGCACAUAUUAAUGGAGUUCAGUGUAAUAUUUCAAUACAUGUAUACAAUGUGUAAUGAUCAAAUCAGGCAAAUUACCAUAUUCAUCAUCUUAAACACCUGUCAUUCAUUUGUGUUGGGAACAUUCAAAAUCUGCUCUUCUAGGUAUUUAAAAAUAUACAGUAAAUUAUUAUUAAUUAUAUUCACUACAGAACACUAGCGCUACAGCGCUAUAGAACACUAGAACUUAUUCCUUCUAUAUAGCUAUAAUUGCUUUCUGUUAACCAACCUCUGGCUAUGUGCCCCACGCCCCUUCCCUAGUAACCACAAUUCUACUCUCUACUUCUCCGAAAUCAACUUUUUUAGCUCCCACAUAUGAGUGAGAACAUGCGGUACUUGUCUUUCUGUGCCUGGCUUAUUUCACUUAACAUAAUGUCCCCCAAGCACAUCCAUGUUGCCAGAUACAUUUUUAUAAACUGAUUUGUGUUGCCUAGCUUCAGGCUGCGAACCUCUCAAGUAAGUAGUCAUAGAAGCCAUCUCCUUUCAUUUUUUAACUUAUUUGUGUCAGGCAAGAUGGAAAAAAGAGGAAAAAUCAGGCUUCUUGAUCAGAUGUUAUAAAAACAGUGUACCAUUCCUUUAUACACAAAAGUAAAAAGCAAAUUCAAGAAAUUAGUUUGCAUUGGCACUUCUUGGGUGCUUUAAAUCACUUGACAAUGGGAACUGAACAUCAGUGAGCUGGUAUCUGCUAUAAUUACACCUACUGUUGCAUGUUAUUUCUUCUUCCAUGGAACAUAUGGCAACUUUCCAGAAACUUUGUUCUGUUAUUAUACUGUAAUAUUCUUCAAUGCAGGGGGAAAGAGUAUUUUUAAAUUUUUUCCCUUUCCUUUGAAAUUAUUUCCCAUGCCUUUCAUGGACCUUGGUAAUGUUCCAAAACUUUUCUAAUCAAUAAAACAUUGUAAGCUGUCAGAAUGGAUUUUCUUCGCUAGAAUUUAUAUGGCACUACACAUUUAAUAUCUGUUCUACAUAAAUCGUUUUUUGGCAUUAUUUUCUUGUUUCUUGAGAGUCUUUUUUUUCCAGACCUAUUGAAUUAUCUCCAAUUUUAAAGGCUUUAUUAAAGUAGCUCUAGAGUUCCAUUUCCGGAAACACUGAACAGCAAAAUCUUUUUGACAAUUUGCUAUCAUGUUACUUAGAGACUGAGACUCAUUCCAUUUGCAAAGUGUCUAAAAAGAGGGUAUUAGACAUUUGAGGAGGAUGAACUGCUUUGAUCAAACUGGUUAGUACAUUCAGUCAUAUAACCAUUGAAUUCUGGUAGCAAGCUUGAUGAUUGGGGAAUUGUUUUUUGUUCCUUUAGUAUAUUGAGUGGUUGCCUUAAUGAAUUUACGAAAACACUGGGGUUUUUUUUGGUUGCUUGUUUUUUGUUAUUGCCUCAUUGUAGUCCAUAACCAUAAAAAUAACCUCUUAUUGAACACAAAAAUGAAGCUUAACAUUGAACAGUAAUGGCAACUCAAUAAUAAAGCAAAUUAAAAUGGAAAAAAUCUACUCUGAUAUGUACCAAAUAAAAUAUUAUUCUUUAUCUAAUGUCUUCUUAGCUGUGCAAUUACAAUUAUGAUUCAAGUUCUAUACUGUGAUAUUUCAGCAUUAUAAUAGUUUUGUGUUUUAUUGUUUUUUUUUCAAGAACAUACGUUGAAAAAUAUAUGCAGAAUUACAUAUAUUAUUUGCAUUUAUUAAUACUGACCAACCAGUGGGAAGAUAUGGUAAUGGAUAUGUACUGAAGUUUAAACCACUUACCUUUGUGCUAUUCCUGUAUUGUAAUAUGGAAAUGAAAAAAAAGGAAAUAAAUGUUAAAGACUAUGUGAUGGCCUAAGAAUAAUAGAGACCAGCCAGGUCAGUGCUCAUGAGUGAGUGAAAAUAUUGGUAUUUUGCAAGAUGAUUCUUUCUGUUAAUUUGUUUCUAGGGCUAAAUGGCACUAUAUAAAUACAUUGAAGUUAGAAUGCUGACAGAGUGAAAAUGUUUUGCUUUCU